GCGACCGGCAAACGGGUGCGGAACACGUACGCAACCUUCCUUCAAGAGAUGGAUAGCCCGGAGAAAUCCGGAUUAAUACAUCGUAAAAUCACAGGGUGGCAUCACUUAAUGAUUAAAGAAUUUCGCUUGAAGAUGGGCGUGCGCCUGAUUAGGUAGUUGGUGAGGUAACGGCUCACCAAGCCGACGAUCAGUAACUGGCGUGAGAGCGCGACCAGUCACACGGGCACUGAGACACGGGCCCGACUCCUACGGGAGGCAGCAGUAAGGAAUAUUGGUCAAUGGACGCAAGUCUGAACCAGCCAUGCCGCGUGAAGGAUGAAGGCCCUCUGGGUCGUAAACUUCUUUUAUCUGGGAAGAAACCACUUUUAUCUAAAGGUGUUGACGGUACCAGAGGAAUAAGCACCGGCUAACUCCGUGCCAGCAGCCGCGGUAAUACGGAGGGUGCAAGCGUUAUCCGGAUUCACUGGGUUUAAAGGGUGCGUAGGCGGAUUUGUAAGUCCGUGGUGAAAUCUCCAGGCUUAACCUGGAAACUGCCAUGGAUACUAUAAAUCUUGAAUGUUGUGGAGGUUAGCGGAAUAUGUCAUGUAGCGGUGAAAUGCAUAGAUAUGACAUAGAACACCAAUUGCGAAGGCAGCUGGCUACACAAAUAUUGACGCUGAUGCAC
rnacentral:rRNA from 1 species